rnacentral:lncRNA from 1 species
AUCCAUUUUCUCAUGUAUUCAUUUUUGUUGUUGUUUUUGCACCCAGGGCCUCUGCUCAUGCUAAGCAAGUGUGCUGCCACUGCGCUACACCCUCUGUCCUCAUGUAUGAGUCCUGUGGUACAAAACAGAAAUACUGAAAAUACUAUCAUGAAGAACGGUGAGGCCCGGGGAAGAUGGUGGGACCUACAGAGCCACGCGUAUGACUCUUUCUUCAGCCUGACAAGACUCCAAGCUCAUAAAUGUGGAGAGCCAUGGUCAUCGACCUAG